ensembl:lncRNA
GGAGAAGCAAACUUCAUGCUUUGAGAUUCUGUAUAUUGUAUUACUUGAGACCCUACAGCUUUAGUUCUGCUCCACAUGAUCACUGUAGAAGCUGUUACUCAGAAACAUUUAAAAUCUCACCAAAUAGAGCCACAUCAGUUCAGUAACAUACCAGUGCACUGACAGGUCAACUAAUAAUCAUAGAUACAACAUACUCCAUAUUCUGUUGCUUAUAAGAUGAUCUUUUCACAUGUUCUCCUGACCAUUCAUACUACUCCUGUUACGUCAACUUCAUUCCUUAAAAGUGAUCUCACGUAACGUGAAUGAGAUUGCAGUGGCAAUGCUAAGUCACGGCCUGAACCUGUGAUUGAGCAUCUGUUGGGAAGGCAGGGCCAACCCAGGGGAGCUCAGCUGCAUGCAAUGUACCUGAGUGAUGGGAAGGGGUGGAGCCAGGAUCCACCUCUUCCCAGACCUCGUUUAAGGGUUGGCAGUGAAGGUGAGGGCUUCACUUGUUGGAGCUCCCUGCCUACCUGAGGCCUUCCAAAGAUAAACAGCUCUUUUUCUUCAUAUGUGCGGCUGCUACAUUUGGGCUUGUUCUGAUUAGCUGUAGAUAAAGACUUUGCCACUCUGCUAUUAUCAUGCUAUUAUAGAGAUAAACAGCAAUGUGAAAGCAGGUGAAAGGCAGAAAGAAAGAAGCCAGAGUCAAGUAAGCUAAUUAAUGGCAGACAUACCGUAGUAAAAAGAGAGGUUGCUCAGUUGAGCUGCAAGUGACAUUCAAAUGCAAAAAGCAGCUUGGGGAGAAGGAAUGAGACUACUAUAUCUCUGUAAAUACAAUUACAUAACAUAUAUUGGCCUCUUCUUAGGAAAAGAAACAACAGCAGUACUUGAAAAUUAAGGGUCACACUGUGGCUCUGGCCUUGGCACAAUAGGACCACACGUGUAAAGGCAACAGAAAGCACUACUGAAAACUUCCUUAUUUAUUUUUUUGCUUGCUGGGAGACACUGGACAAGUAAUUUACAAUUUCUUCAACUGGGUUUUCUGGUAAAAUUAAGCUUAUGUGAUCAUAUUCAGUUUGUCUGACGCUUCAAAAAUUUCCUGGGUCAAUUUCCAAGUCAUCUGAGAGUAGACUCCAGAGAUAUGGCAUUCCCUAAUAUUUCAUGGAAGUGUCAGUAGCUUCAAGAAAGAGACUGUAUUACUGCUGUCUCUGUCAGAAUAGCCAAUUAUGUUUAGAUGUCAGGCAAAAUAGAAGGUAUUACAAAGGGAUAUUAAGGACAAGCAUCUGUUAGCUUUUUGAUGUGUGGAAGUCUCUUUGCUUCUUCCAUCCUUAAUUUUCCUUCAUGCAGUCUCUCUAAUUUAAUGGCAGUUUUAUUUUUAGACCAUAGCAAUGGUGGGUGCCCCAGUCAAGUUCAUUCUUGUGUAUGAUACAUCUCAUAACACAAAACUGUACUUGCCUCACAAAGGAAGACGUAAUUUCACAAACAACAUUAUUCAUAGAGCUUCAUCAGCAGAAAGAAGCAACAAAUGGUUCUGCAAAUGUUUCCCUUCUGACAAAUAUAUGAAUAAUCUGAGGAAAAAGUUACCUGUGCUUCAUAGCUUCAUAGGACACACUGCUGCAGUUCUGUGUUUCAUCUGCUUUUCUGCAGAGAAAAAUUCCACAUUGCAAUAUCAAGAUGAAAAAGUAAAGGUUGAAAACAACAACAACACUAACAACAAAAAGGAAAUUUUUAGUUCUUCUAUAAGAUGCUAGAAACAGAUCUAUGCACUAUUUAAGAAGGUCAUGACUCUCAAAUGUGACAUUUCUGGGAACACAGAGCAAGCCAGAACACUACUAGUAUCUCAGAAGAGUCUACUGAAGUGCAGGAAGCGCUGAGAUUAAAUCUUAUUGUUAAACUUUAUUCUAAGAGAGAGGUAUAUAAUAGAAUUUCUUGAACUUUGGCUUAAAAUGAAAAAAAUCAUCAUAAUGCCAACAGUGUAGCGAUAUUACAUUUUAGUUAGUUUCAAAUAAAGAACAUUAUUAC